ACUCGCUAGCUACCUCUAUCCACUCCUGUCAUUUGUUACAACUUACAACCGUUUUCUGCAUGGCUUCCUCGGCGGCUUUCUUCCUCCUCGUCGCUGCUCUGCAUGUGUGUUGCUGCCACGGGCAAGGCGGCGGCGACGGCGCCGUGGCGGCGAUCUACAGCCUCGGAGACUCCAUCACAGACACGGGGAACCUGGCCAAGGAGGCGCCGCCGGGCGCCUUCGAGACCAUCAAGCACCUCCCCUACGGCGUCACCUUCGGCCGCCCCACCGGCCGAUGCUCCGACGGCCUCCUCAUGAUCGACUUCCUCGCUCAGGACAUGGGCCUUCCAUUCCUCAACCCUUACCUGGCCAAGAACAGGAGCUUCGACCACGGCGUGAACUUCGCCGUCGCCGGGGCCACCGCCAUGGACACCGACGACCAGCUCAACCGGACCUUCUCCCUCAAGCUGCAGCUCCGGUGGUUCAAGGACUUCAUGAAGUCCACCUUCAACACCGACCAAGGCAAUUCAACAAUUUUCUUCCCUCUUACUGUAUUACUUUCUCUCAGUCUCAGUGCACACUCUGUUUUCAACACUCAGGCAUACUGACUCUCCAUGUAAAAUUUGUGCGUGCAGAAAUCCGCAAAAGGCUCCAAUCUUCUCUGGUUCUGGUCGGGGAGAUCGGAGGAAACGACUACAACUACGCCUUGUUCGGGAACCAGUCUGUCAGUGAGGUGGAGAAACUGAUCCCGGCCGUGGUUCAGACCAUCAUCGACGCCACCAAGGAAGUGCUGGACAUGGGCGCGAGCAGAGUCAUCGUCCCGGGUAACUUCCCCAUCGGCUGCUUCCCGAGCUACCUCACCGCGAUGGCCUCACCGGAGCAGUCGGCCUACGACUCCGCGGGCUGCCUCAAGGACCUCAACCUCUUCGCCGCCAAGCACAACGCGCAGCUCCAGCGAGCCGUCGCCGGCCUCCGUGCGUCGUACCCCGACGCGGCCAUCGCGUACGCCGACUACUUCAACUCCUUCCUCAGCCUCCUCAAGGGCGCCCCGGCGCUCGGCUUCGACGCGGACAGCACGCACAAGGCCUGCUGCGGCGCCGGUGGCAAGUACAACUACGACGAGAGGCAGAUGUGCGGCGUGGAGGGGACGGUGGCGUGCGCCGACCCGUCGACGUAUGUGAGCUGGGACGGCAUCCACAUGACCCAGGCGGCGUACAAGGCCAUGUUCAGGCUCAUCUACCAUGGGAGGUACCUGCAGCCGCAGAUACUCAACUUCCCGGAAAAGACUAGACAGACAUGAUGAAACUGUCUGAUACUUCACGGUGGAAGUCUCGCCGCGACAUUUUCAGCCUUCGACGAGUUCUUCCAUGAGGACUGUGCUAUGCACCUUGUAUCCAGAUUAAACUACGAGCCACACUAAAAGUAAAGAUGCAGUUUUAGCAUGUUGAGCAGGGUACACAGUUGCAAACAAACAUACAUCUCUCAAGUAGUAAAAUGGAAGGAUUUUACGUCU